UCUUUCUUUUUUUAUUUGGAGAACAAUAUAUAGCCAGAGUCUUGCCAUCCUAGUAUAACAUUUGCUCUGCGAUCUACAGCUGUCAAUACAAAACCACAAUGAGAACUUUUUUGUAUUUUCUGUGGAUUAUCAUAUCUUCGUCCAUAUUUGUAGAAUCUUUUAUUCGGGAAAAGGAGAGAAGAGACAUUUAUCAAACAAUUAAAUUUCUGCAUGAACUGGGUCAUAAAGCAUGUCCACGUGAUGUUGAAAAUGCGAUGUCCGAUCGGUUCACAAGUCUUCCCGAUAAGAAAGAAGAAAUAUCUCAGGCACUGAACAUAGCAUAUAACUCUACCUUUGAGCUCUUCAAGAAGAACAGAAGCCACUGCCACUGGAAUAACAAUUCAUUCCAAGAACUGAUGGAACAUCUCCACCGACAAGCUCAAUUAAACUUCGUAAGUCAGAAGUUGGACUGAGUCAACAUUUACUUUCAUUAUUUACAAUGUUAUAACGUUAACCGUUAUUGUUAAUAUCUAGGUCCCGGUGGUGAUGAGCUCUGAACUUCAGACGCUGGUCGAAAACUUCAAAAAGCUCGAUCAGUUUCUUACACAGCAGGUGAGAAACUCAGCAAACGAGACCGAAAAAAUAAA